CCUCCUCCCCGCCGCUUGGCGCGGGCAUAAAAGCCGCCCGCCGCCUCUCCACCUCAGGAGUAGUACUUGCGGGACGCGACGAGCAGCGCUCCUGGCACGAGCAGACAUGGGCAGGGCGCUGGCUUGGCGGCUGGUCUUCGGGCUUUUUCUCCUGGCGUUGCUUUCACCCUCUCAGGGAGGAGAAAAUAAAACAAGUACUGAUGCUCCGGGCAAUAAUUCAGCUGUGACUGCUGUGUCACUUAGCACAAACACCACCAAAGGACAUGGAAAUAAUCUUCAGUCAACUACUGGCCUCUUCAUACUCUCGGUCUCUCUUCUGUACUUUUGUUAAAGCAUCUGGUCUGGGAAAACAACAUCCUUCCCUACCAAGUUUCCUAAUUCAUCUAAGAUGGUGAGACCUUCGUAUUCUGAGAAUUAUAAAAAAACAACAACAUAAAAUACUUGUAUCCAGCCAGUACAGUUUAAGCAACAGUUAAAUCACAGUUACCAAAUUGACCAAGACUCUUGAUAAGUAUACCUGAUGAAUUGAAUCAAUCUUCCUUCAAAAAUAAUUUGAUUCACAAAGCAACCUAUGGACUCCAAUAUUCCACACCUUGAACUCCUAAUGUAAGAGAAAUACAACUUGACAAACCAUGGAUCAUGCCUUCAGAGAGGAAAGAGUUGAUAAAGCUACACAAAAUAAGCUUAAUUUGAAAAUGACGCUCAUCCUCUAAGCUUAUAAAACCAGUAAAAAAAUGAAAAAAAAAGCACCGAAUGUUUUUUUUUCUCCAUUUAAGAUCCAAGGAUAUCCAGCAGAAGUAAUUCCAUUCAAAAUUUCACUUUGGAAUUUUCUAAUUAUUCCAUUGAUUUAAAAAAAAAUCUGUUAUAAAGGUUCAAAAUUGAAGUUUGCAUAAUUUAAAACCAAUUGGAAAACAUUUACUGUAUUUUUUCAAUGUUAUUAAAGCUGUAAGUGAACCAAAUGCACCAGCAGAAUAAGAUAUAUAAAAUCUAUUAUAAGAAUAUUUGCUAAUAGCUAAUAUAAAAUAAGUAAUAAGGAAAUAAGGAAUCAACUUACAUAAUUAAACUUGAAUAGUUUUUCUUAUGGUAGCCUCCUCCUAAAAGUUUCUGGGGGUAAUUUCUAAAUGUCAGUUUUGGUGCAAUUAGUGUUUAUUUGAUCCUUUCAAUGAAACAUCUUUGGGCAAAUAAUUUUAUGUUGAGUGAAAAUACACAAUGUUUAAAUCCUGAAAUAUUAAUCCUUAAAGUGUGUAUCUUUUAACGAUUGAAACUGAUAUUUUUGCACAAAUUAUUUCUAUGCUAAAUGUUCUGUACAGUAAUUUGAACUAAAGCUGGUACUAAAAUGUUAUUCAAAUGUUUGGCUUUUCAGAAAUAAAUAAUGGAAAGUCUUGUAGGCAGAACCACACCCAUAGUCUUGUUCAGUUAGUAUGCGUGAUCAUGGCUUUUUAAAUGCACACUUGUCUCUUUGAUUUAGUCAUUUACCCAGAGUCUGUACACAUCCAUUGCAUUGUCAGGUACCUACAUAAUAAAACAUGGGGGUGGGGGGAGGGAUGUAUGCAUUCCUUUUGUAUUGAGUACAUGUUUGACUUCAUUAUGUGAUUAUGCUAUAAUUUUAAAUCAAACUACAAAUAAAACAAUGGAUCUAA